rnacentral:rRNA from 1 species
UACAGAGGUCUCAAGCGUUGUUCGGAUUCAUUGGGCGUAAAGGGUGCGUAGGCUGCGAGGUAAGUCUGGUGUGAAAUCCCGGGGCUCAACCCCGGAACUGCACUGGAUACUGCUUUGCUAGAGUACUGGAGAGGGAACUGGAAUUUACGGUGUAGCAGUGAAAUGCGUAGAUAUCGUGAGGAAGACCAGUGGCGAAGGCGGGUCUCUGGACAGUUCCUGACGCUGAGGCGCGAAGGCCAGGGGAGCAAACGGG